rnacentral:pre_miRNA from 1 species
CCUGAUUUUGAGUCUCUCUUCAGGGUGCUACAGGCAAAGCUGGAGACCCAGGGAGAGAUGUAAGUGAAG